CCCACUUCCAAGUAGGAAUAGUGAACUCUUGCAUGGAACCACUUGGUUUCUGGUGCUCUAUCUUAACCUGCUGUCAUGUAGAGCACUUAGCCACAAACUCUACAAUAUCUCUCUUCAUCCGACUCCACCAAUAGAUCUUCUGCAUGUUGCGGUACAUUUUAGUGGCCCCUGGAUGAAUAGAGUAUCACACACCAUGCGCUUUUGCAAGUAUUCGCUACCUCAAUUCAUC
rnacentral:lncRNA from 1 species